rnacentral:rRNA from 1 species
AGAACGAACGCUGGCGGCAUGCCUAAUACAUGCAAGUCGAACGAACUCUUCGGAGUUAGUGGCGGACGGGUGAGUAACACGUGGGAACGUGCCUUUAGGUUCGGAAUAGCUCCUGGAAACGGGUGGUAAUACCGAAUGUGCCCUUCGGGGGAAAGAUUUAUCGCCUUUAGAGCGGCCCGCGUCUGAUUAGCUUGUUGGUGAGGUAAUGGCUCACCAAGGCUACGAUCAGUAGCUGGUCUGAGAGGAUGACCAGCCACAUUGGGACUGAGACACGGCCCAAACUCCUACGGGAGGCAGCAGUGGGAAUCUUGCGCAAUGGGCGAAAGCCUGACGCAGCCAUGCCGCGUGUAUGAUGAAGGUCUAGGUUUAUAGUAAAUUACUUUACGAACCGGUAAAGAUUAAUGACUAGUACGCCGGAAGAACGACGCCCCGGACUAACGUUCCGACGUCCAAGCCGACGCCGGUAC